GAUGAAGAACGUAGCGAAAUGCGAUAAGUAAUGUGAAUUGCAGAAUUCAGUGAAUCAUCGAAUCUUUGAACGCACCUUGCGCUCCUUGGUAUUCCUUGGAGCAUGCCUGUUUGAGUAUCAUGAGCAAAUCUCAAAGUCGAUCCUUUUGUUAAUUCAAUUGGUUUGCUUUGGACUUGGAGGCCUUGCAGAUUUCACCGUCUGCUCCUCUUAAAUGCAUUAGCUGGAUCUCAGUAUUAUGCUUGGUUCCACUCGGCGUGAUAAGUAUCACUCGCUGAGGACACUGUAAAAGGUGGCCAGGAAAAUACUGAUCGAACCGCUUCUAACGGUAUAUUAACUUAGACAAUUACCCUUAAGUUUGAUCUCAAAUCAGGUAGGACUACCCGCUGAACUUAAGCAUAUCAAUAAGCGGAGGA
rnacentral:misc_RNA from 1 species